GCUAUUAUGGUGUAGUGGUUUGCAUGUUUGAUUGUGACUCUAAAGUUCAGGAUUCAAGUCCUUGCUUAGGCA